rnacentral:ncRNA from 1 species
UAUAAAGUAUGGAAGAGGAGAGUAGAUUCUGGAUAUUUCUCUUUUAGAGAGCUUCGGCAGCUGAAAAGGAGCGGGAAGUACCAUUAUUGAAAAUGGCCUCUGAGCCUCGUGCUGAAAGUAUAAUUUAUUAAUUAUAUGAAUAGGUUUCGACGAGAUUUGGUACUCGUUAUCCAUAUCAGAGUGUAGGAAGCGUUGAUUCGUUUUUACGCUUACGAAGGCUGUUUAUGUGAGUAAGCAGCGAAUUAAGGUGGAACCACGUGAAGUCACACCACGUCCUCAUC